GUUGUUAAAUAUUUAUAUUAUGGUGGUACCCAAAUGCCCCAUUUGGGCUUGAGGGCCCCACUGUGCUGGGUGUUGUACAAAUACAAAAAGGAAACAAUCCCUGCUUCGAAGGGUUUACAGUCUAACCAGACAAAGGAUAAGGGAUGAGAUACAACAUAAAAGCAAAUAGACCCUUUCUGGCUUUCCAGUUGCUAAAUCUAACUUCUUUCCUGGUUAAUGCGAUGCAGGGGCUCUAUAUCUCGCAAUAUCUCUGUGGCUAGGGAUGUCUCCAUUCCUCCACUUUUAUAGCUAGAACUGCCUAUGUAAAUGCAUUUUGCAUGCACUGAAAAAGCCAAAUAAAUGGGCAGUUCUCUGCAUCUCUUAAUUUUUCUAAUCUACUUCUAUAUUGAGAUUCCCCCGGGAAUCUAAUGCACACGUGGUUAGGGGUCUAGUACUCUUUGUAUGUACCUUAGUACUUGAGUCUGGAGGCGCCUCCUGGAAGAGUCUUUAAAAUUCCCACGAAAAUCUCCCAAACGCCUGCGUAGUUUUGAUGUAGACUACAAGUCCCAGCAGCCUCAGCGGGAGCCUUCUGCCGGGUGAAAGCUACAUGCGAAUCAGCAGCAGGAGGACAGGGGCAAGCUGAAUAGGGUGGAGUGAAAGGGGGAGCAGGCAGCACUGAAUUUCAGUAGGAAACAUACGUUUGCAAAGCAAAUGUUUGUGCCCAGGAGCCCGCCAGUAAAAGCCACUUAAAACGAGGUUUUUUUUCUGUAUGCUUUCUGUAACACCAGCUGUCACCUAGGGCACAAAUAAGGCUCCACAAUCCCUGUCUAUCCUGGAUGGUUCUUUGCCUGUCUCCUAUGUUCUUAAAUCCCAUAAGUUUUCCCUCUCUGAGUACUGUAUGACAAAGGGAUUCUUUGGGUUGGCCCAUUUUUGUGUACCCUAUAACUAAGAGACUGUGAGAGCCCAAUCCUCUGGUGAGAUUCAAGGCCUAUCCAGAGAUGGAUUAGAUGGUGAGGAAAUCUGUUCUGCCUCCCUCCUCAGAGAUGCACUAAAUGAGCCGCUAGCAGUUCCUCCUCACUCACACACUUCUGGUUAUGCCCUCAAUCUUCUGUUUUUCAAAUAAGCUAUUUGACAUGUCUCUUUUAACAUAUUGCUAUUUUUUAAGGAGCACCUUCAAUGUACAUGGACACAGAGGAUUACAUGGGUGCUGCACUGCCCCAAGGUCUGUGGUUACGCUGCCAUUUUUCUUAAAAUCUCCCACAGCUGUAAUUCCCCCUGUGCUGCACUGCUGAUGACACAGCAGUUAAAACACUGGCAGCUGAUCUACACUAGCACUUCCAUCUCUGCUACCACAAACGGAGCUGCAAAGGUGGGAGAUUUUAAAAGAAAAGCCAGAGCAAACAAGGUCAGGCAUGUACAGUCUGACGUAGUCAGACAGUACACAAUCUACAUUAGGGCUCUUUCUCAAAGCAGGACAGACAGACAAUUUUCUUUUGUUGCAGGACAAUAAAGCACAUUAGUAAAUUUAACUACGUACAGAGAUCACUUUAUCUACAAAUGAACUCCUGAGAUGUGACAUGCCACUGUUCAAGAAUGAACAGCAAAUCUAACAGUUUACAACAGGAAAUGAAAGAUACUCCAUCAAAUUUAAAGUACAACACAAGGUAUAAUAGAAAGAAUAAUGCUACUGUAAACAACCUAUUGCUGUUGGUUAGAUUUCAACCUUCCUUUUUCAAACUACUAAUUAUAUUGUCUCAUUCUGUAAUUCUAUCAGGUCUUAAUAUCUUUGCACCGAGUGCAUACUGGGAAGAAAGACCUUACACCAUCACAAAGGAGCUGUAGAAAGUGGUAUUGGAAAUUAAAUACAUGGUACUCACUCACUUGUUUAAUAAAAGUAACCAUGUCCCAGCAUGUUUUUAGCAGUGCUCUAGGUGUGCUCUUUGGAAGAGAUGCAGUAUCAAUUUUACUUAUGGUAUGAUCCCACUCACAUUUGGAACGAAUUCCUAAAUCAGUCUUAGAGCUCAUCCAAAAUCUAUGUAAAAAAGACUGGAGAGCGGAACAAACUAUCAGUGAAACCAAGCAAGAAAGCAGCAGAGGACUGGGUAACUGAAACAAAGAAAGCGAAAUGGAGCCAAAAUGAGGUGGAGAAGCAACACUGGGUAAUCAAAGGAGGAAUCAGUCUGCAGCUGGGUGCUACAGUGAGGCCAUAAGGGAUGGGAAAUCUCUUGGGGACACACAGGACUUUUGCCUAAGAUUUGAAUUACCUAGGUCCCAGUAAUCAUCAGUUAUGGCCACCUUAAAAUUUAGCUAGCAAUUUGACAGGCACCUUCCUCACAUUAUUCUUCAUAUAACAGCAUUUAAUUGGAAAAUGCUGAGUGUUAUUUUAAAUUGACUAGUAAAUAUUCCUUUUUUAAAGAUUUAUUUAAAAGAAGUGAUGCUUUAGCAUCUGUCUUGAGAGAAAGAACUUGGGAGUUACUUACCUGUGCAAUUUGUAUGGCCUGGUUACUGUUGAGAUCCCACAUUUUGGCAGUUUUAUCACAAGAGGCAGUAAAUACUUUACUCCCAUCCUAAAACGAGAGAAAAAUAAUUCAGUUUCAUAAUUUUUAAAAGAUUAAAUAUUAACUGCACCACAGUAUGUGUAAUUUUAUGUUUGCAAUAUCCAAUACUCAUUAAAGAAUUGCUGGCCUGAUUCUUCACUGCCUAGUACUUGUGUAGUCAUUUAAUAAAAUGGGUAUGUAACAUAAUACUAUUCUGAGAGUACUUGCAUAAGAGUAAGUGACUAUAUUCGGUGCAAGGUGAUCUACUCCUGGGGGAAUUCUGUGCCACUCAUUGCGCAUGUGCAGAAUUUAUGUCCCCCGCAUAAAAAUGCCUUUCUGACAGGGAAGCAAAAGGAACCUGCAAGAGCAGUCACGCAGCACUCCCUUGCUGCACAGGUACAUCAUUUCAGGCACCUGGAGCAGCCGGCAAAGAGGUAAACCACCGCAGGUUGGGGACAUCCCAGCAAGUAGCUCCUACUCCGAGUCGGGAUCAGCUGAUAGUCCUGGCUGGGCUGGAGGCAGGAGAGGAUGGGACUUCCUCUUUCCCUGCAUGGAGUGGCUGGGGUCAUGUCAGACCCACCCCCAGAAACUUCUACCAGCUGCAGGAAGCUCAGCAUCCUCC